rnacentral:lncRNA from 1 species
GCUCAAAAGAGUGAAGGAACCUGCUGAGGGUCACAGAAAAGGAUGCGGCCGAAACUCGAAGUCAGUCUGGCUGCAGCUGUAAGGCCUCGUUACUGUCGUAGAGCAGUUUGUCAAGAGGUCCUUCGGUUCCUAGAUUUCUAGAGGACGCUGGAGUUCAUUGUGAAGUGCCGGGGCUUUGGGUCCACACAGAUACACUGCCACUGGGAUCAUACAGUGUGCUCUCAUCUGGAACUUCCCACAUCUCCACGUGCCCUCACCUUCAGUGAGAGUCUGAGAAGAAGCCGGGUGGGGUUGCUGCGCACAUGGUCGGGGCUGCUGCCAAUGCCACUCAUCUCACCAUCACUUGCUGCCUCUCUGCCUGCCCCCUGGUCCAUGGUUCUCUGACAUC